rnacentral:rRNA from 1 species
CUACGGAGGGUGCAAGCGUUAUUCGGAAUCACUGGGCGUAAAGGACGCGUAGGCGGGUUGGCAAGUCAGAUGUGAAAUCCUACAGCUUAACUGUAGAACUGCAUUUGAAACUGCUAACCUAGAGUAUGGGAGGGGGAGAUGGAAUUAGUGGUGUAGGGGUAAAAUCCGUAGAUAUAACUAGGAAUACCGAAAGCGAAGGCGAUCUCCUGGAACAUAACUGACGCUAAGGCGUGAAAGCGUGGGGAGCAAACAGGAGUAGAUACCCUAGUAGUCC